UGAAUAAAUCUAAACGAAACAACAGCGAUACGCCCGAAGUUAAAGCUUAGAUAUUACUCGAUAAGCGGAACUUACAGAAUCGGCCGGAGAUCAAGCUGAUGCAGCCCUGCCAACCCGCACGAACUCGUGAAAAAGAGGAAAGUAUUGGCGAAGUCGCCUGCUUGAAAGUAAGUACGAGGAAAAAGUAGUUUGUUGUAUUGAUUGGUUGAUGAUUACAGAUUUACAAAGGUAGCUAUUUAUAGC
rnacentral:lncRNA from 1 species